rnacentral:lncRNA from 1 species
CGGGAAGAUUGUAACCCCAUAGUACUAGACCAACGAGGAGCUGGGGGAGGGCCUUGCGUGCUAGGAGAUAAAUUACCUGUUGUAACUGCCCCGGGUAUGCCUGCCUACCGGACACCUGAUCUUGCAAGACCGCCAUUAAGUCUCGCUUCUGCUGCAUUUCGUGUCUCUGAGUCCAUUCUUUGAUUUUGGACAGUCCACUGCUUCCACCAAAGACAAAUCACAGCAGGACCAAUCUACCUGCAAAAUAAGCUGCAGUCCCAUAUAAUCGACCUGAUUACCCACACACAGUGCAGCAAGAAUCAUUGUCCAUAUAGACUCUCCCAAAUCAGCUUUGCUGGAACAUCUCACAAGACCAUUUCAGUCAAAGCCCUGAGAAAAUAACCAGUUCCUGGCCAGGUGUGGUGGCUCACACCUGUAAUCCCAGCACUUUGGGAGGCCGAGGUGGGUGGAUCAUGAGGUCAGGAGAUCGAGACCAUCCUGGCUAACAUGGUGAAACCCUGUCUCUCCUAAAA